rnacentral:rRNA from 1 species
UACGUAGGGGGCGAGCGUUGUCCGGAAUCAUUGGGCGUAAAGCGCGCGUAGGUGGCCAUGUAAGUCCGCUGUGAAAGUCAAAGGCUCAACCUUUGAAAGCCGGUGGAUACUGCAUGGCUAGAGUACGGAAGAGGCGAGUGGAAUUCCUGGUGUAGCGGUGGAAUGCGCAGAUAUCAGGAGGAACACCAAUAGCGAAGGCAGCUCGCUGGGACGUCACUGACACUGAGGCGCGAAAGCGUGGGGAGCGAACAGG